rnacentral:rRNA from 1 species
GCAAGUCGAGCGCUUCCCUUCGGGGAGGAGCGGCGGACGGGUGAGUAACGCGUGGGAACGUACCCUUCUCUGCGGAAUAGCCACUGGAAACGGUGAGUAAUACCGCAUACGCCCUUCGGGGGAAAGAUUUAUCGGGGAAGGAUCGGCCCGCGUUGGAUUAGGUAGUUGGUGGGGUAAUGGCCUACCAAGACUGUGAUCAAUAGCUGAUUUGAGAGGAUGAUC